GACGAACGCUGGCGGCGUGCUUAAUACAUGCAAGUAGAACGCUGAAGAGAGGAGCUUGCUCUUCUUGGAUGAGUUGCGAACGGGUGAGUAACGCGUAGGUAACCUGCCUUGUAGCGGGGGAUAACUAUUGGAAACGAUAGCUAAUACCGCAUAACAAUGGAUGACCCAUGUCAUUUAUUUGAAAGGGGCAAAUGCUCCACUACAAGAUGGACCUGCGUUGUAUUAGCUAGUAGGUGAGGUAACGGCUCACCUAGGCGACGAUACAUAGCCGACCUGAGAGGGUGAUCGGCCACACUGGGACUGAGACACGGCCCAGACUCCUACGGGAGGCAGCAGUAGGGAAUCUUCGGCAAUGGGGGCAACCCUGACCGAGCAACGCCGCGUGAGUGAAGAAGGUUUUCGGAUCGUAAAGCUCUGUUGUAAGUCAAGAACGAGUGUGAGAGUGGAAAGUUCACACUGUGACGGUAGCUUACCAGAAAGGGACGGCUAACUACGUGCCAGCAGCCGCGGUAAUACGUAGGUCCCGAGCGUUGUCCGGAUUUAUUGGGCGUAAAGCGAGCGCAGGCGGUUUGAUAAGUCUGAAGUUAAAGGCUGUGGCUCAACCAUAGUUCGCUUUGGAAACUGUCAAACUUGAGUGCAGAAGGGGAGAGUGGAAUUCCAUGUGUAGCGGUGAAAUGCGUAGAUAUAUGGAGGAACACCGGUGGCGAAAGCGGCUCUCUGGUCUGUAACUGACGCUGAGGCUCGAAAGCGUGGGGAGCGAACAGGAUUAGAUACCCUGGUAGUCCACGCCGUAAACGAUGAGUGCUAGGUGUUGGAUCCUUUCCGGGAUUCAGUGCCGCAGCUAACGCAUUAAGCACUCCGCCUGGGGAGUACGACCGCAAGGUUGAAACUCAAAGGAAUUGACGGGGGCCCGCACAAGCGGUGGAGCAUGUGGUUUAAUUCGAAGCAACGCGAAGAACCUUACCAGGUCUUGACAUCCCGAUGCUAUUUCUAGAGAUAGAAAGUUACUUCGGUACAUCGGUGACAGGUGGUGCAUGGUUGUCGUCAGCUCGUGUCGUGAGAUGUUGGGUUAAGUCCCGCAACGAGCGCAACCCCUAUUGUUAGUUGCCAUCAUUCAGUUGGGCACUCUAGCGAGACUGCCGGUAAUAAACCGGAGGAAGGUGGGGAUGACGUCAAAUCAUCAUGCCCCUUAUGACCUGGGCUACACACGUGCUACAAUGGUUGGUACAACGAGUUGCGAGUCGGUGACGGCAAGCUAAUCUCUUAAAGCCAAUCUCAGUUCGGAUUGUAGGCUGCAACUCGCCUACAUGAAGUCGGAAUCGCUAGUAAUCGCGGAUCAGCACGCCGCGGUGAAUACGUUCCCGGGCCU
rnacentral:rRNA from 1 species